rnacentral:rRNA from 1 species
GACGAACGUUGGCGGCGUGCUUAAUACAUGCAAGUCAACUGAAGCAGUGGUAGCAAUAUCGCUGUGGAGGUGGCGCACGGGUGAGUAACACGUAGGUAAUCUGCCUUCAGGUCUGGCAUAACUCCGGGAAACCGGGGCUAAUAGCAGAUGAUGCAGCGGCUCGACAUCGAGACAGUUGUUAAAGCUAUGGCGCCUGAAGAUGAGCCUGCGUCUGAUUAGCUAGUUGGCGGGGUAACGGCCCACCAAGGCAACGAUCAGUAGCUGGUCUGGGAGGAUGAUCAGGCACACUGGAACUGGGCACCCGCCCAGACUACGACGGGGGGGAGGAGUAAGGAAUAUUGCUCAAUGGGAGAAAUCCUGAAGCAGCAACGCCGCGUGAGGGACGAAGGGCUUUUGCUUGUAAACCUCUGUAGUGAGAGAAAAAAAUCCCAAUCUUUGGGACAUGAUGGUAUCUCAAAAGUAAGCCCCGGCUAACUACGUG